rnacentral:lncRNA from 1 species
GUGGAAUCAUAAAGAAUAGAACAUGGGCUUCUCAUUUAAGCACUAUUAAGUCAUAAAAACAUGGAUUCUAUCAUUCUUGGCAUUUUAUCAAAUACCUUACAUGCACAACUUUGGGUAUAGGUUUACUUAUCAAUUUGACAAUCUUAAUCCAUCCAAAAUUCAUGGGUUUCAACUAACCUACUCACAUGCUUCAUGAAAAACACAUCAAGAUACAACCUUGAAUCCAAACAAAAAUCAUCAACAUGAUUAUAGCCAUAACACAACAAGGAAAUCAUAAUUAAUAAUUUAAAACAUGAUUCUUGAGCUCCAUAGAUGAAAGGGAUCUAUGGAUGAACACUACGCAUACCUUAAAGCUUGAUCUUGAAAGAGAUCUAAUAUUUCUUAAAGGUUCUUGAAGAAAUCCUUAGGCUUGUUCUUGAUUUUUCUUGACUAGGGUUUAACCCCUUUGGGAGAGAAUGUUCUUGUUCUUGAGGAGAUAAUCUUGAGAAAAAACCCUAAUCUUGUGGUUGAGAGUGUAUGAGAGAGCUUUUUGAGAUGCUUAACUAAAGAGAAUGAAAGAUAAUACACUUCUUGAGGGUUGUAAGUCGUGGGAAGUGAAGGAAAAGACCAAAAUACCUUUGCAAAACGUCCCUCAAUUGCUAGAAAAAAAUAGCUGACGAUAUUCGUGACAAGACGUCAUAUUGGUGAUAGGUCAUCACGAAUUGUCGUCAUAAAAGGGUAAAAUCUUAUUUUUCUGGUUAAGGUUGACGACAUUGGUGAUAGGCCUUCAUGGGCCUGACAGCUUUUCCCAAAAUAUUGUCACUGGGGGUGAAAAUCUGCUCAGGGCUGAUGACAUUGGUGAUAGGCUAUCACGGGCGUGACAGCUUAUCAUGAAUGUCGUCACUCAGUUUUCCAGCUUGACAUGCCAGAGUAAAAUGGACAUAACUCCUUGCUCUGAUAUCGGAUUUAGGUGAAAUUGAUAUUUUUGGAAAGGUAAUUCAAUUAUUCAUCUUUUGUUAGGCCAUGAGCUCAAAAAUUAGUAGUGUAACAAGAGAUAUACUCAUUUGAAGUUGACUAUAGCAAUAUUCAAUCGGUAAGGAAUGUUUUGAUUCGCCUGAUAGCUGAGAGUUAUUUAAAGACUUAAUAUACAUGUAACUUGCUCAUAAAACUAUGAAAGAACCAUGAUGUACUAUGCAUCAUCUUGAAAUGUGGCGCUAAUAUUGGUUUGGAUUUUUUAGGGUAUUAUAAUAUCUCCCCUCUGGGAACAUUUGUCCUCGAAUGAGAAUGACUAAGAUGGAAGAAAAGAUCAACUGAAGUGCGUACAUACAUACACUAAUGAAACAUGGUUUUGGGACUGACAUAACUGAUAAGCUGAAUACAUCAUAAUGAACAUGCAUAUCUGAUGCAUGAGUAACUAAUUCAUGAAUGCACAACUGAGUGUUCUGAUGAACUGAGUUUCUCAUAAUAAGAAUGCAUAUCUAAUGCCUAAUUGAUGAGCUGAAUUUAUUUAUAUCUGAUACAUGAUUAUACAAAUAACAUGAUACAUGAAUGCUUAACAAAAAAUACUGAUAAACUGAUCAUGCAUAUCUGACGCGUGAAUAUAUGACUGAACAGGCUCAGGAACAUAUGGAUGAACAUGCAAUGAUAAAGGUACCAAGUUUGAACUGAAAACUAAGCAUGGAACUGAAUACAAAGUUUGGUACUAAAAUCUGAACAUGGGAACGAGUAAGAUCAAAGAAGACUAUCACCUUGAACUAAAAAUAUCAAUGAGUCUGAGAUUCAUUGCCCAAUAUGCAUGAGCAGAAAUAUAAGAACAUAACUGAGUCUAGAAUGUGAUACAUGAAUUGAUCUGAGUCUGCAAUGCAUGACAUGGAUAGAGUAUCAUAUCGUGGACUAAACUGAGCAUUUGAGUAUAUGGCUUACUACUGAGUUUUGGAGCUAGAGGGUUGGAUCAUAAGUAACACUUUCUCCAAGAUAGAUUCAUCAAAGAAAAUGACAUGUUUAAAUCAUGAAAGUUUGAGGGCUAUAGUGUAUUUCCCCCUUAGGACACUAUGUCCAUUAAAGGAUGCUGGACUGAUGUUGCUGAGAUAUUGAGGAAGUUGAGGCGAUGCACAAGGCAACUACAAACUAGAUUAUAACUGAACCUCGAGAGUCUGGGACUAAUGCAUGAUGCAUGAACUGAACUGAACUUGCAGCUACUAGGAGGUUCUACUUAGAAUAGUUACAUUCGCUGAUAUCUUGAUAGCAUGAAUAGAUGUAAGUAUGAGAAAACAAACCAUACAAAUCUGACUGCUCGAUUGCUAAACUGACUUGCCGACUUUACUAACUAACUCAUGCUGACACAUAUGUCCAAAUUAGAGAAAGUGAUCUAACAAUGCAUACCAUGAACAUGAAAGACUAGUAAUGUACCCGAAUUUAGGUCAGGGAAAAUUUUUGGAUCAUGACGGGUCCGGAGUGCGUAAAGUCUAUUCUGACGCUGAUCACUCUUCGUGCCUUGCUGAAGUAACUGUUUACCCCUCUGUUCUAGAACUCUACACUCCCGUAUCCUAUGGCCUAGCUUGCCACACCCAAAGCAUACAUCACUACCUACCCUACAUACACCUAGGUGAUUCUUACCACACUCUUUGCAAAGCGGAUAAGUAAGUCUUCUAUUCUCACUGCCCUAGGCCUCGAAGCCUGGAGCUCCAUCAUGAUGGUAAUUUCUGGAAUUAGGUGCUGGUGCACUAGCUGAAGAUGGAGCUAGGGCUAAAAAUUCUGACUAUGCUGAGAACGGUUACCACCCUAUGACUUAGGUUGAGCAAAGCUAAAACUACCUGUCCUUGCUUUCUUACUCUGUCUCUCCCUCAUUUUGAUCUUCUGCUCCUCUAUCUACUGAGCAUGAGUCAUAAGUAUGGAUAAAGUCAUAUCGCUAUUCAACAUGGCAAAUCUGUACUUGUUUACCACGCUAUCGUUCACCCCAAGACGAACUUACUCAUCUUGGCUCUACUGUCUGCAACCACAUGAGGGAUCUAGAUAAUUGAGUAAACCUAAGAGAAUUAUCUUUCACUAUCAUACUGUCCUGCCUGAGGUUGAUGAACUCUAGCACCUUAGAUUCUCUAAGCUCUAGCAAAAAAAAUCUAUCAAGAAAAGCAGAGGCAAACUACUCACACUCUAUAGAACCUGUAUCAUCUAACCUUUCCGACUUUCACUAUUUGUACCAAGUAUGAGCCACACCCUGCAACUGAUAUAUAGCUAAGUCAGCACUUUCCACAAUAGUCAACCCCAUAAUAUCUAUCACUUUUUGAAUCUGAUCUAAGAAUUCCUGCGGGUCCUCAUCUGACUUAGACUCCAUGAAAGAAGGAGGAUUCAUUCAGGUAAAGUCCUAAAUUCUAGCUGCAGCUGAAUUGGCCACUGGAUUGGCCAAAACGACAGCUAGUCAUUUGUUCUGGGCAGUAACUAAUUGAGCAAGAGUGGUGAAUGCUGUCCUGAACUCCGCAUGAGAAACAUAAUUGCCUAAAGGGUCUUCGGGCUGAGGGGCUGACUGAUUUCUAUUUUUUCUUUUAGGAGGUAUGUUCUGUAGAAGAAAGGGAGAAAUGAAUUAUACAGAGAGUGACUUGAGAUUAUGCUCACUGGCACGACAUGAAUACUGAAAGAAGGGAAACUGUUCCUAAAAUAUCUCAUAGCCUCCUGCACAUAAGUGUGGUACACAACACACGCAUGUACAAGACUCUACUAGAUACGGGUUUCAAACUUCCUAGGACUGUAAUGAAACUUAGGCUCUGAUACCAAGUUUGUAACACCCCAAUUUUCUAAACCGAAAUGCUACACGAUGCUUAUCACCUUGAAGGACCACAAGCUAACCCAUGACUGAUAUCUGUACCUGUACACUACAAUAUAUGACGUAAUAAUGUGGAAAAAUAUGAACAAUAGGCCAUAAGGUUCAACUGAAUAAAAUAUAUGACAAACAUAAUAUUCAUAUGGGUGAAAAAUCCCCAAAAACAACUGAAGUCUGAAUCAAAUCUGAACUAAAUCUGAAAGCCUCUAAAUACUGUCUUAGUAAGGAGUUAAAGGAACAUGUCUCUAACUAACUCCGUCUAGCUAAAGUAAAUUGAAAUAAAAUAAUAUCGUCCUUGAAUGGAUGAGGACUCACUGCAACUCUGCGACUGGAAUGCUACUGCUGAGCUGGAACACGUGCCUCUGAACCUAUGGUGUAACAUAAGAGCAAGCACCAUAGCACAAAUGCGUCAGUACGUCUUAAUGUACUGAGUAUACGAUUGAGGUAGGCUAAAUUCAAAGGGUUAUAUGCAUGAGCAAUACUGACUAAUAUGAAUGUGAGAAUACAUACAUGCAUAAGAAACUUUAACUGAACUCGUAGUGAUACUGAUUACUGAGUCUGAAUACUGAUGACAUGACUUUACUGAUAUUGAGAUACUGAAUAGAUGGAUGACUAUUUUUGACAGUUUGAAUUAUGAAGAACUAGUCUGAUUGAUUGUGUCUAACAGUCCUAAAACUGAAUACUGAUAACAUAAGCUAUGACAACUGACAUAGCUAAUAUAACUUUGAUGAUCGACAAGACCGUUGUAACUGAUACUAAGAAACUAUAUUUAACAGUCUGAGUUCUGAUGGAACUAUUUGAGUUUCGUUCUAUAUGGAGUAACUGAAUUUGAGUAUCUAGCGGGUAAUCUUUAAAUCUGAUGAUUCUGAUACUGUUUAACUAUAGUUGAGAUUAGUCCUGUCUAAUGAGUGAUCUUGAAGUCUAUUUAUAAUGAUAAGGAUUGACUGUCUCUAACAGUACUGAAUCUGUACUACUGAACUGAGUUGACUGUAUCUGACAAUUCUGAAUCUGUAAUUGAAACUGUAGGAUUUCAUACUACACUUGGUUCUCAACAUCUUAUACAUGGAAGGGGAUGCGCACAACAUAUAUAUACUUGCGUUGCUUCAAUAUCAUGCUCAUUCCAUAUCACAACAAUAACACACAACAAUAACGUGGAGUUCAUGUGGAAUCAUAAAGAAUAGAACAUGGGUUUGUCAUUUAAGCACUAUUAAGUUAUAAAAAUAUGGAUUCUAUCAUUCUUGGCAUUUUAUCAAACACCUUGCAUGCACAACUUUGGACAUAAGUGUACUUAUCAAUUUGACAAUCUUAAUCCAUCCAAAAUUCAUAGGUUUCAACUAACCUACUCACAUGCUUCAGGAAAAACACAUCAAGAUACAAUCUUGAAUCCAAACAACAAUCAUCAACAUGAUUAUAGCCAUAACACAACAAAGAAAUCACAAUUUAUAAUUUAAAACAUGAUUCUUGAGCUCCAUGGAUGAAAGGGAUCCAUGGAUGAAAACUAUGCAUACCUUAAAGCUUGAUCUUGAAAGAGAUCUAAUGUUUCUUGAAGGUUCUUGAAGAAAUCCUUAGGCUUGUUCUUGAUUUUUUUUGACUUGGGUUUAAUCCCUUUGGGAGAGAAUGUUCUUGUUCUUGAGGUGAUAAUCUUGAGAGAAAACUCUAAUUUUGUGGUUGAGAGUGUAUAAGAGAGCUUUUUGAGAUGCUUAACUAAAGAGAAUAAAAGAUAAUACGCUCCUUAAGGGUUAUAAGUCGUGGGAUGUGAAGAAAAAGACCACAAUACCCUUGCAAAAACAUUCCUCAAUUGCUGAAAAAAAUAGCUGACGAUAUUCGUGACAAGCCGUCAUACUGGUGAUAGGUCGUCACAAAUUGUCGUCACAAAAAAGGUGAAAUCUUGAUUUUUUGGUUAAGGUUGACGACAUUGGUGAUAGGCCGUCACGGGCGUGACGGCUUGUCACAAAAUGUCGUCACUAGGGGUGAAAAUCUUCCCAGGGCUGACGACAUUGGUGACAGGCCGUCACGGGUGUGACAGCUUAUCAUGAAUGUCGUCACUCAGUUUCCCAGCCUGACAUGCCGGAGUAAAAUAGGUAUAACUCCUUGCUCCGAUAUUGGAUUUUCGUUAAAUUGGUAUUGUUGGAAAACUAAUUCAAUUAUCUAUCUUUUGGUAGGUCAUGACCUUUGAAAAUUAGUAGUAUAACAAGAGAUAUGCUCAUUCGAAGUUGACUAUACCAAUAUCCUUCCCAAGAAUUCAAUCGAUAAGGAAUGUUUUGAUUCGCCUGAUAGCUGGGAGUUAUUUGAAGACUUAAUAUACAUGUAACUUGCUCAUAAAACUAUAAAAGAACCAUGAUGUACUAUGCAUGAGCUUGAAAUGUGGCGCUAAUAUUGGUUUGUAUUUUUUGGGGUAUUACAGUUUAAUGGUUGUAUUUUGUUCAAUUAAUAAUCAGUUUGUUUGCCCAGUUUAAUAAUGUUUUAUCAUUUAUGAUUUUUUUGGUUUCUUUAAAUUUUUUAACUAUAAUCAUGAUUAUAUUUAUCACUAAAUUAUUAAUUCUCUAUAAAAAAAAAAAGGAAGUAGAGUUUUACCUCCGUCUUUAAUACACAGAAAGGAUACUUAAGGUACUCAACAUACCAAUCUAAGUGAUCCCUUACAUUACCAUGGGACAGAAGGUCUUUACUAUUUCCUUCUCCUCAUAUUAGCUUGCAAAGUUGAAUUCAUUGUUGUCGAUUGAUAUCUGUUGUCUAUUUUUGAAUUAGUUAUUUUGUAUGCCUGAAAUGAUAUAUAUAGUUAAAAGAAAAAAUUAAAAUAGAGAAUGAAAAGAUACUUUAAUUAUUAUCAGGAAUUAAAAAGGGGACUUUCACUUCUAAGUAAGAAAAACCUAACAUAACUUUCUCAGAGAUACAUAUUUACCAGAUUUUCACUUAGAAUACGUAUAGUUUCCUAUAAAUUCAUAACAAAGAAAAGUAAUAAAUCAUCAAAUCUCAAACUAAAUCAAUAAUAAACAACAAAUGGAAAGAAAGUAUCUCAAUAACACCGAGAUUGUUGGUGAAGUUUCUGGUAGAGAGUUUAUUGGUUUUCGUUUUCGAAGACUGCUAAAAUCAAAAUCAAGAUAAGAAGAAAACGUUAAAACCUCAUAAUAUUAAACAAUUUACAAUCAAGAUUGUUGGGGAAGUUUCUGGAUUUUCGCCUUUCGAAAAUAACUUUUUUUAUUUAUUUAUAAAAGUGUAUUCAUAGAUCAAAAAAAUUGAUUUAAGACUCCUAUAUAAUUUGUAUUACUUAUAUAUUAUUUGUAUCACAUUAGGAUACUACUAAAUUUCACCAAAAUAAGAAUUUUUUUUUGCCAAAAAUAAAUUGUUUUGCAUAUAUAUUCUCUCUCUCUCUCUCUCUCUCUCUCUCUAUAUAUAUANNNNNNNNNNNNNNNNNNNNNNNNNNNNNNNNNNNNNNNNNNNNNNNNNNNNNNNNNNNNNNNNNNNNNNNNNNNNNNNNNNNNNNNNNNNNNNNNNNNNNNNNNNNNNNNNNNNNNNNNNNNNNNNNNNNNNNNNNNNNNNNNNNNNNNNNNNNNNNNNNNNNNNNNNNNNNNNNNNNNNNNNNNNNNNNNNNNNNNNNNNNNNNNNNNNNNNNNNNNNNNNNNNNNNNNNNNNNNNNNNNNNNNNNNNNNNNNNNNNNNNNNNNNNNNNNNNNNNNNNNNNNNNNNNNNNNNNNNNNNNNNNNNNNNNNNNNNNNNNNNNNNNNNNNNNNNNNNNNNNNNNNNNNNNNNNNNNNNNNNNNNNNNNNNNNNNNNNNNNNNNNNNNNNNNNNNNNNNNNNNNNNNNNNNNNNNNNNNNNNNNNNNNNNNNNNNNNNNNNNNNNNNNNNNNNNNNNNNNNNNNNNNNNNNNNNNNNNNNNNNNNNNNNNNNNNNNNNNNNNNNNNNNNNNNNNNNNNNNNNNNNNNNNNNNNNNNNNNNNNNNNNNNNNNNNNNNNNNNNNNNNNNNNNNNNNNNNNNNNNNNNNNNNNNNNNNNNNNNNNNNNNNNNNNNNNNNNNNNNNNNNNNNNNNNNNNNNNNNNNNNNNNNNNNNNNNNNNNNNNNNNNNNNNNNNNNNNNNNNNNNNNNNNNNNNNNNNNNNNNNNNNNNNNNNNNNNNNNNNNNNNNNNNNNNNNNNNNNNNNNNNNNNNNNNNNNNNNNNNNNNNNNNNNNNNNNNNNNNNNNNNNNNNNNNNNNNNNNNNNNNNNNNNNNNNNNNNNNNNNNNNNNNNNNNNNNNNNNNNNNNNNNNNNNNNNNNNNNNNNNNNNNNNNNNNNNNNNNNNNNNNNNNNNNNNNNNNNNNNNNNNNNNNNNNNNNNNNNNNNNNNNNNNNNNNNNNNNNNNNNNNNNNNNUAAUAAUAAUAAUAAUAAUAACAACUUUUAAAAAAAAUUAACCAUAGUAGUAGUAAUAAUACUUCAUUUCUAAAUAAAUAAUUUCAGCCUUUUCAUUUUGUCUCUCUCUAUAUAUGGUGUUUUAAAUUUAUAUGAAGAUAAAUGAUAGAGAUUAUGUUGGAGAUACUAUUUUGAAUUAUAACUCAAAUAAUGAAUUGAUAAAUAAAGGUUUGAAUUUAAAAUGAAAUAUUCAAAUUUUUGAAUUGAAGAAAAGAUAAAAUAUCAUAUUCAAAAUUGAAUUUGAAAAUACCUUUUCAGUAUGCAAAUUUUAUUUAGUUAUUUUGUAACUUUUUGAACUUUUCAAUUUAAAUUAAAAAGACAUAAAAGAUACUAUAGAAAAAAUAAGCUUUGAAAUAUAAAGAGAUAACUAUUAAUUUAUUUGAACUAGAUAAUAACUCUGUAACAAAAAAAAAAAACAGAAAUAUAUGGUAUAGUUUAGUUAAAACUCUUUUACAGUUUUCUUAAGCCUAUCCUAUCAGAUAUUGUAACCUCAUACAAUCUCCUAUUUUAAAAUUUAAAAUUAUAAUCAUUUUUUUAUUCAAAUGAAUAUGUCAACUAGCAAUAUAAAUGAAAAUAUAUUUCAUUCUAUCUCCCUCUACUAUUAAUAAUAGCUUCUUCUCCUCUUUUUUCUUUUAUUUUUAUUUUAUAGUUUAGUGUAUUUAUUUUUUUAAUGCCCACGAUUUCGUUUAUGUAAAUUUCAAGGUUCAAAGAUAUCUUAUUGAUUAGUUUAAUGAAAUCUAAAAUUUGUCAUCUUAAUUGUUAUUAUGUUGUUCAGGAAAGCAACAUGUUCAAUUAGUCAAAUUGCAGAAAUUGGAGAUCUUAAAAUGAAGGUACGAUAUUAAUUCAAAAAUAUUUAUGAAGGCAAUAUGUUUAAUGUAAUGUUGCAAAUGAAAUUACCUAAUAUGAUUUGUUGUGUGGAAUCUGGUGAAAUUUAGUGAAUUCAAAAAAGUGAGAAACACGCCAUGUAUUUGAAACAUAUCUUGAAAAUUUGUGUUAAAAGUUCACUAUUUUUGUUGUUUCUAUUAUGUUAUUGUUGUUUACAAUUAGCGUUAUAUUUAUCUUUUAUUAUAAAUGUAAUUAAAUUUUUUAAAGUUUCUAUAUGUGUUGUAUACAAAUAUCUCAUAAAUAUUAAAUAAAUAGUUGAACUUUUUCUUUAAGGUAAAAUGAUAUAACAUGUUUGAGGUAUUAUUAAAAAAAAACACAACUGAGUAACGAUAUAGAUGAGUAUUGUGAUAGGGAGGGUAAGGAUAGAUAAUUACAGUGGUAGGGAUGGAGCGGGUUGGGUUAGGCGGCGUUUGGGGAUGGGAAUAGAUUUUUUUUUUCUAAAAAUGAGUAAAAAUAUUAAUUUUUUUUGGGAUUAGGUAGGAGGUGGGGGUAAGAAAAAAAUAAUAAAAAAUCUGAAAAACGGGGGUAGGGAGGUGUUGGGUAGAGAACCGAGGUGGAUGGUGGAGAUUAGAGAUGGUAGUGUAAAGAAAAAAGUUUUUUAUAGAAAUAAAAUAAAAUCUAUUUAUUUGGGAGAGGGGGGGAGGGGGAUUAAAGGUGAGUGGGGUUAGAAGAAAAUUCAACAAAAAAUUUAAAAUUUAAAAAUCAAAUAAAAUUUUAGAGUGGGGUGGUUGGGUAGAGAUGGGAGACGAAUGUGAGUUUUGGUGGGAUGGGUGAUUUUGACAGUAGCAUAAAAGCUUUUAAUUGAAUUAAUAUAGAAGAUAUAAUAAUAAGUAUAAAUAAAAUACUUAAAGAUAUUAAUGAUGAAAUCAAACAAUAAAAAAAUUAUAACAAUAGAAUAAAGUCUGAAAUUUAAAUGAAAAUAAUAACUUGUACUAGCUUAAUUUGUUUUUGAAUUGAAGUUGUAACUCUAAAAUUUAGAAUUAGAAUUUUUGUAAUUAUAAAGUUAAGUAUUUUUAGUUUGAAAUGAAAUUAAAAGACAAUAUUUUAAAAAAAAAGUACAGUUAGCAACUCAAGUUGAAUUAAUAGAUUAAAAAAUGAAAUAAAAGGUAAGAGAUUUAAUUACAACUUUUAAUUGAUUAAACAUAUAAAGUUAAAAGUUCAAAAACAAAAUUAAUAAUUAUUUAAUAUGUUGUAUUUAUUUAUUUUAAAAAUAGUCAAUGGAAUAUUAAAAUAAAUUACUGAUAUUGUUCUUCUUAUAUCAAAACAUGUAAAGUAAUGAUAAUUGUGAUGUAUUAUUAAGUAUUAGUUGUAGUUUUACUAUUAACAAUUAUUUUUAAUAUUUCACUGAUUUUGAAAUAUGUUAAUUUUAUUUAAUAAAAAUUAAUUAAUUUUAUGUGAAUAAGUUGUAUUUUUAAUGAAUUAUCAUAAAAAAAACGUUUCGUGCAUCGCGUGGGUAUCUAGGGGGUUUGGGCUGUAGGUGACAAAAGAAUUUUAAAAUGAGGUGUAGGUGACACAAGUCUUAAUUAUUGAGUGGAUGUGACAAUUACUUUAUUAUGGAUUAAGAAAGUUGAAAAAGUUUGAAAAUAGCCCACAAGUUUUUGAAUUUACAUUUUGAUCCAAAUGUUACCUUAUAACAGAAAACAGAGGAAAAAAAGGCGUCUUUCUCUCUCUUCUUACCUAUUGUUGUUUUCUCUCUCUUAACAAUUUUUUUUGUUCAUUGUUGUUGCUGCUUUAUUCAUCAUUUUCUACUUCAUUAUAUCAUCUUUUACUUAAUUAUCAUCUUCAUUUUCUUCUUUUUGACCAUUUGUUGUUGUUGUUGUUACCGCUACUGUUGCUAUUUGACCAAUUUCUUAAGUCAAAUUUUAUUUCGAAUAUCACUUUCCACUUUGGCAUUACUUCAUAGGAGACCUUGGUAAGUCAAAUUAUGAUCUUUAGUUGAAUUUAUCAUCUGGGUAACUACUACUGUGUUGUUAUUCUUCCAAUAAUGGAUAGAACCCGAUCAUGAAUCCAACAUAAGAUCCAUCUGUUUAAAUAGAUAAAUUAUCUGUUGCGACAGAUGAGCCAUCUGUUUCAAUGAAAGAUUGAUAUGUUGGAUUCAUGUUUAAACAGAUGGGUCAUUUGUUGUAAUAUUUGACACAUCUGUUGCAACAGAUUAGUUAUCUGGUGCGACAUGAUAAAUUUCUAUUUCAACAAAUUAGUAACCUAUUGCAACAAAACCUGAACACGAUUCCAACAGAAGUGUUGUCUGUUGCAACAGGGUAAAUAUCUGUUAUAAUAGAUUACUAACCUAUUGCAACAGGUAAGUCAUCUGCCGCAACAAGUUCAUUAUCUGUUGCAACACGUCACUCAUCUGUUAGAAUCAACUUCAAAGGUGAUUUAGUACUGUAACAGCAUCUGUUGCAACAGAUAUUCAGGAGCGUAAUAUGAAUCCCAAUAGGUAAGUAAUCUGUUGCAACUGAUCACUUACCUGUUGCAACAGAUUACACAUCUGUUGGGAUUUAUUCACGGCACUAUGAAAUCACUAUCAACUUUUUUUAACAAAUGACUUUAUUUAGGUACCACUAAUGGAGGGAUCAAUACAAUAGGGGUGGAUUGUCAUGGUCAAUAAAUCGAGAAGAGCAAUCGAUAUGUAUGGCAUUGGAAGAAGGGUGAAAUGCUAGAGACGAUAGCUAUGACAGUUCAAAGUGAUGUCACGUAUGAUGAUUUUGUGAACUUAAUCAUCAGCUUUUGUGGACUGAAUAAUCAAUCGGAAGAACUCGCCAUCAGCUACUUGCACAGCUCUUUUUAAAAUCAGAGGGUACUGCCUUUCAAGAUAACUGAUAAAGUUUAGUUGCGUGCUCAUCUAAGUGAUUCAACCAGGCUGGUGUUAAGGGUGUGCAUAGUUGAAAAGACGAGAGAGAAUGACAACCAAAACGUAGAAGAAGAAGAACAAGAAGACUUCUUUGGUGAUAGGUUGAAUGAUCUAGACAUGAAUAUUCCAGAAGAUGAUCAAACACCUACUCCUGUUGAUGCGACCAAUACGAUAUGAAGUUCUUCUCAAUCAACACAGUCUGGAAAUCUUCAAGAUGAUGGGAUCAGCUUUUUUAUUGGAAUGUCAUUCAAGGACAAGAAUGAACUAUCUAACACUUUGUUUAUUUCUUGCUUGAAAAAAAAUUUCAGAAUAAAGAAGGUGAUUAAUUUGAGCCAUGUCUUUUGCUUUAAAUGUGCUAAUUCAAAUGGAAAGUGGUGGUUGAGAGCGGUGAAGUACGCAAGUUCUGACAGAUUCGUUAUUCAUAAACAUAAAAAGCAUCACACAUGUGGUUUAGAGCAUAUCUCAGGCCAAAAUUCUCAUGCCACGACAAAGGUCCUGGGUGAAUAUUUCAGGAGUAGUUUUCCUGAUGGCAAAGGCCCUUCAACAAGGGUUAUGGUCAAUCAACUCCUUACGGAUUUGGGUGUCCUGGUUAGUUAUUGGACGAUAUAUACGGCCAUGGGUAUCGCCAAGGACCUGGGUAGGGGGACACUCGAGCAUAGGUAUACAGUCUUAGAUGCCUAUCAUUACAUGAUUGAGUCCACAAAUCUUGGAAGUAAGACGACAUUGCAUUUGGAUGAAAAUAGAAGGUUCAAGUACUUUUUUGUAUCUUAUGGUGCUUGGAUUCGAGGUUUUCGACAUUUGAGAAAAGGCAUAGCCGUCGACGGUACCUUCUUGAGGAGCAGAUAUAAUAGAGUUCUGCUAGCGGCGGUGGCGCAGGAUGUGGAGAAUCACAUCUUUCCUGUCGCUUUUUGUGUAGCGGACAAGGAAUGUGAUGCCUCUUAUGAAAUUUUUUUAACAACUAUAAAGCUGCAUCGAAGAUACCGAAGAGUUGUGUUUUGUAUCGGAUAGGCAUCCAAGUAUUCCAAAGAAGGGUUCAAUUUUCUUCACUUCAGCUUACUUUGGUUGUUACAUCAGGCAUCUUGGAGAGAACAUUCAAAAUAACUAUCACAACGAAAGGGUCGUCACCCUUUUUUUAUAGAGAAGCUAAAAUAUAUAGUAGAGAGGAGUUUUUAGACCACUUCAAUCAAAUAGCGGAUGUGAAUCCCAAGUUAGCAGAAUUUCUCGCACGUGUCAGUUUCGAGCGAUGGAAUCGGGCAUUCUGUCCAACAGAUAGGUACAUCCUUAUGAAUUUAAUGUCUUGUUUGAUUUACAAGUUUAGUAUGAUGUCAUACUAAGUGAUUCUUUUCUAUAGGUACAAUAUUAUGACAUCAAACAUAGCUGAAUCGAUAAUUCAUUGUUUGGCGAUGAAAGAGAAUUUCCUAUCAAGGCUAUGUUUAAAAAAAUAAGCAAAAAGUAUAGCAAAUUUUUUAAUGAAAGGCGUGUACAGUUCAAGUACCCAGAAAAAAGAACCCGAUUUGUUCUCAAAAUCAAAAAAAUAAUAUCAACAAAUGUCAGAUUGGGGAAUAGGUUAUUCUCUCAUAAAAUAGCAGAUUACAAAUUCAGUAUCACCAGUCAUGGUGAUGCUGCCACGGUCGAUCUUCAAACAAGAUAUUAUACAUGUAGAGUUUUUAACUUGGACAAAAUACCUUAUCCAUAUGCUAUGGCAGUGCUUCGAGCUCAAUACGGUCAUAAAUAUGGACCUGAAGUUUAUGAGCACUCCUCUCAAUAUUAUUCAAUGGAAAAAUAUAAAAUGACAUAUCGUGGGCAUAUUACUCCAGUGCCUCUUAAAGAAUCUUGGGUUGUUCCUGCAGAGCUUAUGGGAAGAUUAAUACCUCCUCCAUAUAUUGAUCCAAGCACUAUCAAAUCGGAAAGAAAGCCAUAUAAGAGGAGGCGUGGUGUUAGAGAAUCAUUUUCAUUAAGAAGAAAUAAGUGUUCCAUAUGUAAGUGCGCUGGCCACAAAAGAACUACAUGCCCGAAUCGUAAUCCACUAUGAUCUUUGUAAUUGCAAAAAUUUAUAUUGUUGUUUGUUUGUUGUGGACUUUUAUAUAUUUAACUCAUUGUUGUGAACCUAAUGUUAUCAUUUAUUAUAUAUAAAAUAUCUUUUUUAAUAACUUGUGCAUCAAUAAAAAAAGGCAAAACAUGAACUAAAUAAUACAGCAGACCACAAUUAUUCUCAACAGUUCCAUCAAACUGGAAUGUUUUUCUCGAACAGAUGACAAAUCUGUCGAAGAAGAUGGAUAAUCUGUUGACAGAAAUCCAACAGAUGACCAAUCUAUUCCAACACAUGGUCCAUCUAUUGAAAAAACUCAAAAACCAAAAUUGCUAGAGCUACUGGAUUCAACAUUGCUCCUUGACUCCAACCAUUGAAAUGUUAACAUGUAUGUACGUUUAGAAUAAAUAGACAGAAUGAAAAUUAAAUAAGAAUUAAAAAGCCAAAGUUGACUAAAAGUAAAAUUUUCAUUAAAUGAAAAAUAAAAUACAUUAGGUAUAGAUUCGAUAUAGAAAAAUUAAGAUAUAUACGCUAAAAGAAAAAAUAUAUUCUAAUUAUUAUUAUUAUCAUCAUCAUCAUCAUUAAUGACAGUCGGCCAAUCAACUCGCAGCAGCAGGGCCCUCAUCAGCCUCUGCAUCUCUCUGAACAUCGUCGCUCUCACAGCGACCAACUCCCUCUGUAGGUCAUUAAUCUGCCUCUGAAGUUUCUUCACUGUGUCGAGUAGAAUAGUAAUGUUCGGAACAGGAUCAACCAUAUCUAGAACACGCUUGAAUUGACAAAUAUAAAGAAAAUAGUCUAAAAUAUAAUACAACGUAUACGACAAACUGGUAAAUUUACACCAUAAAAAAACUUACCUUAACAAGAAAAGAAUAUGCUCUUUGAAGAGAAGUGGUUGAAGAUAUCACAUAAAAAUAGAAAAUGUAAAAAAUAAAUAAAGUUGAGUAGAAUGAAGAUUAAGGAGGGACCUUUUUAUAGUAGAUUGAAUCUGGACGUGUCAGGCCAAAAGGCACGACUGUUCAUCUCUAUUGUAUUAAUUAUAUUUAAACUGGUGGCAUUUUAUUUUCUAUGAAAUUUCUUUAACAUUAAUACUUCUCACCUUUUCAAAAUGGUUUGAGACUCAUUAACAGCCGAUAUUAUUGAGCUAUUGCAAUAGAUCGUCCAUCUAUCGCAACAAAUUUAGCAUCUGUUGCAACAGAUGGAUUGACUAUGCAACAGAUGGUCUGUCAAAAUAGAUUUACCAUCUGUUGUAACCAAUAGAUUGUAUGUGCAACAGCUGAGACAUCUAAUGCAACAUAUGUAUUAUCUGUUGCGACAGAUGGACCAUAUGUUGGAGGAGAUGUUUUGAUUUAUUCUAACACCUGAUUCAUCAGUUUCAAUAGAUGGAGUAUUCGGUUAAUUAGCUGUUUCGAAUGUGUUAGAUAAAAAGUCAUGACUCUUUACUUCUUUUUAAUAGUCCCUCCAUUUCGUAUUAGUUGGGCCCUAUGAACUUGGCACACCAAUUAAGAAAAAUAUUAAUUAGGCGAUUAUUUUACCAAAUUGGCCUUAUUAAUUAUGCUUUGAAAGUAUAAAUGUGAAUUAUAUACUUUAUGUAGUCAUUUAAUAAUAGGGGUAAUCUUGGAAGAAUAAUAAAAUUCUCUUGAUUUUAUAAAUAGGACAACUAAAUUGAAACAAACAUUUUUAGCAAGAAGUAAUCAUAUGUGUGCAGAUGAAUAAACACCGUCUAAUAUGUCACAAUAGAUUUACCAUCUGUUGCAACAUAUGGAUUAUCUGUGGUGACAGAUGGACCAUAUAUUGGAGGAGAUUUUUGAUUUCUUCCAACAACUGAUUCAUCAGUUGCAACAGAAGGAGAUUUCGAUUCAUCAGUUGUUUUGAAUGUGUUAAGAUAAAUAGUCACGACUCUUUAAACCUUUUUUUGAAUAGUCAUCACAUGCGUGUAGAUGAAUAUACAAUGUUGUCAGGCAUGUCCUGGCGGGGUAGGAAGAAUAAGGUGCGUGCAAUGGAUCCCAUUUUCAUGCGUGGGAGUUAUGUAUAUUAUUGAUCAGGCUACAGUGACAGACACACAUAAAGUGCAAUGAUUUUGUGAAUGUAGUUUUUUACGGAUUAGACAUUGAUCCUUCAAACAAGAUCCUGCAUAGUACAGUUUAGUUUGAUAGGUGCAAACUGAUAAGGCUGAAGGGUUCCAAGACGGUGGUGUCGAUACCCCGUUAUAAUUUAAUGAUGGUUUAUGCUCAUGUUUUUGCAUCAAGUUUGGGGAAGGGUUCAAGAUUUUGGCGGCAGUGUAAAUAUCCAAUAGUGAUUGGACCAGUUUUAAUGGCAUAAUGGACUUCUUAAAAGGCCUCAAAAGCCUCGUAAUAUAGCAAACAAUGAUGGAACCAAUAGAAAUUGCCCUAGUCUAAACUUAUAUGGAUGGAUUGCUGGAGGAGCUUUUAUACAACAGAAGGCACUUGGGAGAAUACCUGUGCACGAAGGGAGAGGUAGAGAAGGCCAUAUAUCAUCUCAGACCUUGUUUAAGAAGAAACAUAGGGUAGGAAGGAAAGUGUAGCAAAGUUGGCCAAUGAAAUUGACAUGAGAAAGGAAAAAAACUGGAUGAGCUUCAAAUGUGGAAGUGUAUCCAAAUAUAAAAAUCCAUCAGUCGAUGAAAAUAAAGAAUAAUGGUCAACAGGACAAGAGUUGGACACUUUGCUCGAGAAUGCAACUAGCGAGCUUGGCCUCAAUAAAGACUCUCACAAAGUGUAGGACCAGAACUCUAAGUAAGAAGCUUCACGAGCACAAAAGGUGGUAAGAUUGUUGGUCAGAAUUGAAACCUGAACCAACAACUCCUAAAUUAAAAAUAAGGAAAGCCAAGACGUCAAUUUAUGAAGUCUAACUUGCAUGUCAUGCCUUCUAUUGGUGGCUAUGAUUAGGUCAAUGGUAGUAGAAAGAAAAAGGUCCAAAGUUGGGCCAAAAUCGCAUGCCUUGUUGUUUUCACUACCUUUGACCUGACCAGAGCCAUAAACAUGAGGCAUGGGAUGCAAGUUUAACUUGAGCAAUUACCACCUUGGCUUGAUCCCAUAUUUUUAAUGCAGAAGUAGUUGGUUCAGGUUUCAAUUUAAACCGACAAUCUUACCACCUUUCGUGCUAGCGAAGCUGCUUCUUUAGAGAUCUAGUCCUGUAUUUUGUGGGUCUUCAUUGAGACCAUGCUCGCUAGUUGCAGUCUCUAGCAAAGUGACCAGCUCAAAUCCUCUUGACCAUUCUUUUUUUUCUUCAAUGACUGAUGGAUUUUCAUUUUUGGAUACACUUUCACAUUCGCAGCUCAUCCAGUUUUUUUCAUUUUUCAUGUCAAUUUUGUUACCAUUUCCUUCCUACCCUGUGUAUCCUCUUAAACAAAGACUGAGAUGAUAUAUGGACUUCUGAACCUCCCUCUUCCUGCAUAGGCAUUCUCCCAAGCACUUUCUGUUGUAUAAUAGUCUCCUCCAAUAACCCAUAUAUUUAAAUUUAGACCAGGGGAAUUUCUAUAGGGUCUAUCGUUAUUUGCUACAGUGUGAGGCUUCGAAGGACUUUCAACAAGUUCAUUGAGCCAUUAAAACUGGUUCAAUCAAUAUUGGAUAUUUACACUGUCACCAAAAACUUAAACCCUUCCCCAAAAUUGACGUAAAAACUUGAGCAUAAACCGUCAUUAAAUUAUAACGGGGUAUCGACACCACCGUCUUGGUCCCUCAGCCUUACCACUUUGAACCUAACAAUCUUAAUUGUAAAAUACCAUAUCUUGUUUAUAGGAUUAACACCUAAUAGGUAAAGAACAAACAUUCACAAAAUCAUUGUACUGGAUAUGUGUUUUCAUGAUAGGUUGAUCAGUAAUACAUACCUCCCAUAUAUGAAGUGGUUCCAUCUGCAAGCAACUUAUUCCUCCAAAUCCAUAUUUACUCGAGGAUAAUGCUGGUCGGGUAAAAGUGGAUCCAGUUUCACUUCCUUUUAUCUGCAAACAAGAGAAAUACAUUUGAUGUCAAACAAGAGAAGAACAAAAAGAACAUUACAAAAGGAUAACACAAAAUUGAGUGAAACAACAGAUUACUAAUCUGAUGCAACAGAUUACCCAUCUGUUAACUGAUGAGGUAUUUGUUGCCACAGAUGGAUGACAUGUUGGAACAGAUAGUUCAUCUGUUGGAAUAAAUUAAACCAACCUUGCUACUGGUUUGAUUUCUGCAAACAGUUGCUCUGGCUGUACAAAAGGGUAACACAAAAGUGAGUGAAUCAACAAAUGAUAAAUAUGAUGCAACAUAUUACCCAUCUGUUCAACUGAUGAGGCAUCGUUGUAAUAGAUGGUUGACAUAUUACAACAGAUGGGUUAUCUGUUGGAAUAAAUUAAACCAGCCUUGCUACUGGUUUGAUUUCUUCAAACAGUUGCUCUGUCUGUUCCAAUAGCUGAUUCAUCAGUUGCACCAGUUGAGGAAACUGUUGCAACACCACCACCACUAACAUCAACAACAAAGAAACAACACCAUAUGUUCUAACACCAUCCACAACACAAACGUCACAUGUUUCAACACGACCAUCACCCGCAACAACAGCACCACCAAAGUACCAAACUAAAGAUAUUAAAAAAACUAUACUGACAAUAAGGCUUUUUAAGUUCUCCUAAUAAAUGACUUUUUUUUGCAUAUUUUAAUAAAAACAACAGUUCAUUUAUUCAAGACAUAAAAGUCACCUUUCCUUCAAUUUUCUUAAUAAAUAGAAAACUGGCAAUGGGUAAAUCAUUAAUAGCAAUAGAUGUAAUAUCUAAUUUAAAUGACAUACAAAGAAGAAGACGACAUGGAAAGAGCAAUAGUGAACCGUACCUACAAUGUAAAAAAAUACAAGGGAUCAGAACAUUCAGUUCAGUCAAGAAAAGAUAUUAGUUGGUUGAGAUCUGAAAGGAUCCUCAUCCAAAAAAGACAGAAAAGAGAGAAAAAAAGAAAACAAAGAGAAUUGAGAAUAAAAAAGAGUGAUAGAUGAGUCGAGUCUUACUUUAUGGCUGAAGGAGAGAGUAUCUAGAUAUGAGUUUUAAAUAUUCAUUAAUAAAUUUUGAGGGGCAGGAGGAGAUGGUGACAUUGAAAAUACCAGAUAAGACUACUCAGGAGAUUUUUGAGUUAUCCAAGUAGUACGGUGUAGUAUUUUUUACCGCCUUAGUAUUUCAACUUUUAAAUCUCGGACAGGAAAUACCUAAAUUGCUUUAAAAAAAAUCUUUAAAUAUUUAAGUGCAACAAAUGAAAAUUUAUGUUUGGAAAUUUCCAAAGCUCGAUCAUCUGUCGCAACAAAUGACAUAAUUGUUUGAUAGUUUACAACAUAUGCAUAAUAUAUUGCAACAUAUUACCUAAUCUAUGUGAUUUAAUCUAACAGAAAAGUCAUCUGUUGCAACAGGUUGAACAUUUAUUUAUAUAUAAUUUCAAUUGAGUUCAUAUAUUAAACUAAUACCUUAAUUAAAUAAUCUAGGACUAGGGGUGAGUUCUCAUAGAGUCAACUACAACUUUAAUUGAGUCUUUUGGCAAUUGCAUGAUGAGAAGGUAUUGCAUUUCUCCCGACUAGAGUCGUCGAUCGAUCAUUCUGAGCUGAAAUGAUUCUUACUACCUCAUAUGUUUAACUAAUACCUUCAUUGAUUAAUCUUGGACUAGGGGUGAGUUCUCAUAGGGUCAACUACAACAGAUGGCAGCGCCUAUUUAAUAAUUUACAACAUAUGGGUAAUCUGUUGCGACAUAUGACAAUCAAUUUUAUAAUUUACAAUAGAUGGGUAAUCUGUCGCAAUAGAUGACUUAAUCUGUUUGAUAAUUUACAAAAGAUUCAUAAUAUAUUGCAACAGAUUACCUAAUCUGUUUGAUUUAAUACAACAGUGAAGACAUGUAUUGCAACAGGUUGAACAAUUGUUUAUAUAUAAUUUUAAUUGAGUCCAUAGGUUAGACUAAUACCUUAAUUGAAUAAUCUAGGACUAGGGGCGAGUUCUCAUAGGGUCAACUAAAACUUCAAUUAAGUCUUUUGGUAAUUACUUGAUAAGAAGGUAUUGCGUUUCUCCUAACCAGAGUCAUUGAUCGAUCACUCUGAGCCUAACCGAUUCUUACUACCUUAUAUAUCCAACUAAUACCUUAAUUGAUUAAUCUAGGACUAGGGUACUAAUGCCUUAAUUAAAUAAUCUAGAAAUAGUGGUGAGUUCUCAUAUGGUCAACUACAACUUCAAUUUAAAAGUCAUUUGACAAUUGCUUGAUGAGAAGGUAUUGCGUUCCUCCCGACCAGAGUCGUCGAUCGAUCACUCUGAGCAGAACCAAUUCUUACUACCUCAUAUGUUCAACUAAUACCUUAAUUGAUUAAUCUAGGACUAGGGUACUAAUACCUUAAUUGAAUAAUAUAGGACUAGGGGUGAGUUCUCAUAGGGUUAACUACAACUUCAAUUUAAGUCAUUUGGCAAUUGCUUGAUGAUAAGGUAUUACGUCCCUCUCGACCAGAGUCGUCGAUCGAUCACUCUGAGCAGAACCAAUUCUUACUACCUCAUAUGUUUAACUAAUACCUUCAUUGAUUAAUCUAGGACUAAGGGUGAGUUCUCAUAGGGUCAACUACAAUAGAUGGCAACGCCUAUUUGAUAAUUUACAACCUAUGGGUAAUCUAUUGCGACAUAUGACAAUCAAUUUGAUAAUUUACAAUAGAUGGGUAAUCUGUUGCAACAGAUGACUUAAUCUAUUUGAUAAUUUACAAUAGAUUUGUAAUAUGUUGCAACAAAUUAUCUAAGCUGAUUGAUAAUUUACAACAGAUGCUAAUCUAAUGCAACAUAUUGAACAUUUAUUUUUAUACAAUUUCAAUUGAGUUCAUAUGUUAGACUAAUAGUACCUUUUUGGCAAUUGCAUAAUGAGAGGGUUAAAAAGUAUGCAUAUCUUUAUAAUUUUAAAAAUAAUUAAGAUCAAUUCAGACCAAAUUAACAUUUUCAAAACUUGUCAUUCUUUACCAAAAUACAAAUCAACCCAUACAAAAUGUUUCAUCAUUUUAUCUCAAGUUCUCGCUCUUUUCUCUCUCAGUCUUACUCAAUAAUACAGUACAAACAACAACUACUCAAAAAAUUACUCAACCUUACACAACAGAUUAUUUUUCUUUUUAUUUUCGACCAUAUGGGUGUUAUUUUCAACUUUAUUCUUACUUAUAUCAGUCAUUUUCUUUGUCUUCAUAGGUAACAGAGUAUGAGAAGAGUUUUAUAUUUGUUAUUUUUGUCUAAAAAAUAAGGGCUUUUAAGUUAAUGAUGAAAAAUAAAAUUUUUAGUUGUAUUAUCUUCGAGAAUGGGUUUAUAAUUUUGAGUUUUGAUGGUAAAAUCGUCGGAAGAACUUGAGAAAACCAUAGUUUCUGUCGUAGUAUUCCAUUAACUGUCGUGGUAUUGUUAGAUGGUGUUUGUGGUGUUGGUGGUGAUGGUGUUUGUGGUUGUCGUGGUAGCACUGGUGGUGGCAUUGAUUGGUGGUAUUUAUGGUGGCUGUUGGUGGUGUCGGUAUUCGUGCUAUUUAUGGCAUUGGUUGGUGAUGUUUGUGAUGGUGGCUGUUGGUGUGUCGGUAUUGGUGUUCUUUGUAAUGUAUUUUUUAAAAUUUAUGCAUACAUUAAUUGUAAUGUAAUUUUUGUUUUUCUAUUAUUUAUCGGUAAAACAUGUCUCCUAAAAGAAAAGAAAGUGAAAGUGGAUCAACGUCUGACCACCCAAAAAAAAAAGCUAUAGUACAGAGGGAUUCAAAAGAGCUUCCUAAACAAAGUGAAGAUGAGGAGAGAUAUGAACACAAUGUUGAGAGAUGUGGACAAGGGUUUGUAGAUAGUGAUAAAGAAAAUGAAAGUGAGAAAGAGAAAGAGGAUGAUCACCAACAUGAUGAUAAUGGAUCACCAAUGGGACGUGAAUUAAUAUCGAUAUCCCAGUAUGAUCCUGUUAAAACUUUUAGUAUUGAUAGGUUUCAAGUUACGAUGCCGAUAAAUGACCCAGAAGCAGAACUAACUGGUGAAAUUGUACUUAAAUGCCAGAUGGGGAAAUAUUUUAAUAAAUUUAGGAAAAUUAUGAAGAACAAAAACAUAAUCAGACUUUUUAAGAAGAGCUGCUUUGGAUGCAUUCUUAAGCUGCCCGAGGAUCCCCCUGCCCAUUUUCGUUUCCCUAUGACGAUAGUAUAUGGUCUUCUCAAGCAUAGGAUUAAGUACGUGGGGGAUAAUAAAAAUCCAGAGAAGGGGACAAAAGGAAUAUGGAUGAAAUCUGGAUCAACUACUGUCGCAUGCCGAUUUGUUUUGGCUUGCAAGAGUUUGCCAUAGUGAUGGGCUUGAGAUGCCAUCGUCCAGAAGAACCACCACCCCGCAAAAGAUCCAAAGCAAGAAAAUGCAGGGAAAAAAUAGAUGAGUUGUUUAACAUUGCUCUACGUGGCUACAAAGCAUUGGAUUUGUUGACAGAUCUCAAGGAUAAAACCAUACCAGAGCACUCCAGGGAGCAAUUGUACUUGGUUUGGUUUGCCCAUUUGGUUAUAUUGGCAAGAGACGCCAACAAGGUCAUAGAAGAUGAUUUGUUGGUGCGUGCUGAGGAUUUUGAUAAAUUCAAUAAUUAUCCCUGGGGAUAUGACAACUUCUACUUAACUAUCCUAUAAUUAUUGACAAAGCUAUCCCCAGGGAAGACCACAUUAUACGGCUUUUCUUGGGAUUUCAUGAUAAAAUUAAUCACUAUUUUUACUCAUCCAUUAAUUUAUAUUGAAUAUAAUUAUUAUGACUUUUUUUUUUGCUUGCUUCCUGUUUACAUUUUUUAGGCUUGGGCAUUUGAAGCUAUUUCUCCCCUCCGAAAGCAAGUAAUGGAUUACCCGGAUGAGGUUUAUCAUCCAAGGAUUUUUAGGUAGUUGGUUGUAAAGAGCAACACCAAAAUUAAGGAGGAGGAUCUUUUUAACCCUCCGGAUGAUGCAGUACAUCUUCUUUAAGUAAAAUAAUUUUGCUCAAUAAAAGAUAUUGAACAGAUGUUAUACCUGGUGCAAUAGACGUUAUAUCUGAUGCACCAGAUAGGACAUUUGUUAUGACAGAUUACCCGUUCUGUGCCAACCAAUGCAAUAGAUAGAUAAUCUGUUGCGAUAUAUCUUGCAUCAGAUUACCCAUCUGUUGCUUUGGUUCUCUGAACCCGACUUCUAAUAGAUUAACCAUUUAUUGCAAAUUAUGCAACAGAUGUGUAAUAUGAUAAAACAUAUUGUUAAUCUGUUGUGACAUACAGAUCAUCUGUUGUAUAAUAUGUAACCCAACAGCUUACCCAUCUUUUGCAACUGGUGCAACAGAUUGGUAAUUUGUUGCGACAGAUGAUUGAUAUUUUGCAUCAGAUUAUCCAUGUGUUGCUUUGGUUCUCUGAACCUGACUCAAAUAGAUUUUAACUAUAUAAUACAAACUAUGCAAUAGAUGGGUAAUUUGAUGCAACAUAUUGUUAAUCUGCUGCAGAAGUUGACUUAAAAAGUAAUCCAAUUGUGAAAAUUAUUAUAUUAUAUGAUUUAAAUGUAUAUUUCUUUUUUUAUAGGUUGUAUAUCUAUGGAUUAUGCCUACCGAGGAGGAGUUGGUGAUGACUUCUUAUAUUACUAUAAGUCCUGUUGAUACUAUAGCAGACCCAACAGUUGAGUUAAUAAAGAAGGAAUUGGCUGGAGCAACAUCCAUACGAAGAGUAGUUAGGCAAGGUCAGCCUAAUGUUGAGGAUCUUCAUAACCAACCUACUAAGGUAGAUCCGAGUUCUUCUUCUGAUGGAGUUGUUGGUGUUGGUGGUAGGCAUGCUGAUGCUGCUACUACUCAUAAUGAUGAGCAUAUUAAUGCUCAAGAAAAAAUAAAUAUGUUUAAAAAUAUCCCUUUCACAGGUCCUCCUCAACCUUACACAGGUCCUUCUCACCCUUACAUCGGUCCCUCUCACCCCUCUUCACCCUCGUGUUCUCAUUGUGAAUGUGAAGAGUGCAAGGACAGCCAGGAUAAACUCUUUGAAAAAGUAGAGGCUAUCUCUAAAGCUAUCGAGAAAUUAAAAUCCAAGAGGUGUGUCAUACCAUCCAAGAAGGUGAGGGAGCCACAGACUCCUACAGUGUUGGUUAGGAGAAAGAAAAAAUCAAUUAGAAAUGUACUCUCCGAUCGAAAAUAAAUAAAAAUUGCAAUUCCCCCAUCUCCAAAAGUUGUUGAAGUUCAGGGGCCAGUCAAGAAGGUGGACAUCUACGUAGAACUUGACACUGAAGAGAAGAGGGAUCUGCGAAAGACCAAGAAUAUCAAGCCAGGCGCACCAGAUUACCCCAGGCCUCCCUUUGCCCCCCAAGACUUUCAGACUAUGACUGAUAUGCGUAUUUCAUACGAGGACAAGACAAUUUUACUUUUCAUAACCUAGCCUUGUAAUCUACCCCAUGAAGAAGAAGCUACGCAAUAGAUAUGAGAUCUGUUGCAACAGCUGGGUAUAUUGGUGUAACUGGUAGUGGUUCUGUUUCAACUUAUUAUCCAUCUGUUGCAUAAGUUGCGUUGGAUUAAUGAUUUAGAGAAACCUAUGCAACAGAUGGACCAUUCAUUGUAUCUUUACAAUUACUAACCUAUUUAAAAUUUGACUUCUUAUAUCACAGUAUGUUGACAAAAUUCUCUACAUCAUGAGGAAAUGGCAAUUAAUGUACCGGAAAGCUUAUGACGCUGCCAAAAGGAUAAUGGACCUCAACUUCUACAAGAAGGCUCAAGGAUAGGUACGAUCAACUCAAUGGGGAGGCAUUAGCUUGUAGCGUGGGACUUAAUUUUAUAGUUUCUGUGUUGGACUUGGAUGAAGAAGAAAUAAUAAAAUAUGUUAGAGGGGAGAAGCCAAAUCCACACGGCAAGAGCUGGACCGAGGCAAAAAGGAUUUUUGUAGUCAUUAGCGUUAAUGACAUGCGUUAUCGAGCUGUUGAGAUACUAUUCGAGGAGGGAAAAAUCAAUGUUUAUGAUUGCAACAAACCUCUCAUCGAUGAUUUUGAUCUUUUUCUCCUCGUGGAGCCACUGAUAGAGCUGCUGCCCAUCUUAUUGGGGGAGAGUAAACUGAUGAAUCAUUUGCCAAAGGAAGUGUUGAUGAAGAAAUCAUGGGAUUUUGAAGGUCAAAACAAGGGAAUGAUCCUUUCAAAAAAUGAUAUCGAUUACGAGAGCAGCUCGCACGCUCUUACACACAUCAAAUGUUUGCUGACCGACAUAGAAAUGACCGAGCCAACGAAUUUUUUUUGCGACAACGCUGUGGUAAACCUGCAAGAGGUCUGGGCUUAUGGGGUACUAACUGGAUUCUUGGAGAUUGUGUAUAUAUAAGAGCCUAUGAAAUAGUAAUUUUUAAUUUUAAGUCACCCUUCACUUUAUUACAUGUACAUGUAGUGACAAUAAUUUUUUUCUGAUAAAAGUAGAGUUUUUUAUAAUGCAAUAGAUUGUCAAUCUGUUGUAAAAUAUAUUGAAUCUAUUCUGGCAGAUAGUUUAUCUGUUGCAACAGGUUGGUCAUCUAUUGCAUUAUGUCGAUGUUAUUUCUAUGUAAUCUAAGUCUAAUCUGCUGCAACAGUGGGAAGACCUGUUUGAUAAUUUCCAACAAAUGACCUAAAUUUUAAAACAUAUGCCUAAAUCUUUUUGAUAUUUUUCAAUAAUUACGAUUGAAUAUCCAUGCACUCGGCAACACCAAACCAGAAUCAAAUACACACACCACCAUAAAAAUUACAGCAAUUAGGCUUGAAUAUCUAUGUGCCCAACAACACCAAACCAGUAGCAAUAACGGCAACAAUGUAGUAUCUUCUUACUCAAUUUUGUUUCUCUUCAGAAGCCUUGACUUUGUUCAACAAAUCCCAGAUUACAUGAUUUAUUUAUGAAGGGUGUCAUUCUUCAUACCAAUCAAAGUAAUUGCAUCCACCCAAUUUCUAUAAAAACAAGAACACAAUUAAAAAAUAAUUACAAGUCAAUAGUUAAUCAACUAAUUAAAUAAAAAAUAUUACCUUUGAAAUCUUACAAGUAAAAAACAUAUGACCUGGAUUUUGUUGAGUCCAAGAAGUAUUUAACAGAGCUUCAUGACUGCACUUUCAAUAUCAAAAAUCUUUAUCACAAAAAAUAGUGGAAGAUGCGCUCGACAUUGUUAAGCUCAGUUCGAAAAAAUAAAAAAAAGAUAAAGAAAAGAAAGACCAAAUGCAAAUAAUUUGAAGAAUUUGGAUAGAUAAAAGAAGAUGACGAUGAACAAGAAGAUUUGAGAAUUUAAGGUUAAAUUUUAGGAGGAAGAUGAAUAUAUAAGACAAUGGGGGAGAAAAAAUGUUCGUUGGGGGCCAAAUGAUAGCAAGUUGGCAAAAAGUGCCAAACUGACACAUUUGAUGCCUAUUUUAUUUUACUUAUUUAAAAUGAAUAUUGUCUACCUAAUGCCUAUCUGUUACAAUAGGUUGGUCCUCUGUUGCAUUAUCUCAAUGUUUCUAAGUCUAUCUGUUGCAACAGUGGAAAGACCUGUUUGAUAAAUUCCAACAGAUUACCUACCUGUUGCAACAUAUGUCUAAAUCUGUUCGAUUUUGUCCAAUAACUGAGUCGUCUAUUGCAACAGAUACAUUAUCUGUUACAAUAUUUGAAUCUGGUAUUUCUUUUCAAUUAAUAAGUUCAAAUCUAAGGAAAAAAUAAAAUUCAUAGACAAAAUAAAUAAAUCGAAGCCUUCAGAAAUUAGCUGAAAUAAGUCAACAAAUAAAUAAAAUGUAAAAAAGUUAUUAUGGGUACAGAUCUCAAUAAAUACAUCAACAAUUUAAGUAUGAUGCCAAGGAUUACUUUGACAGGCUCAAGUUAUAAAGAUCUACUCAAUAUGGAUAAGUUGUUCUUCAUUCGGUGCUAUAGAAUUUGGCUUUACUCGUCGUGGAUCUUUAUUGUUACUUACGUAUGGUUUCUGCGCUUUCUGUUCUUUGUAUUUUCAUAAAAAGAGUAGCAUAUUGUCAAUGCUAUUCAGUAGUAGCUUCUAAGUCCACCUAGAAAGCCAGAAUUAGUCAAUGCGCUAAUCACAGAGAUACAACAAAAUGAAAAAGGAUAACUCAUCUGUUCUAGCAAAUCAAAUAGGUCUUCCUCCUGUUUCAAAUUAUCCCAAGUAGAUUAUAUUUCUAUUGCAACAAUGAAUCACCUAUUGGGAUAAAUUUCUUUCUGAGGAAGACCUGUAUGAUAAUUUCUAAUGGAUGAACCAUCCGUUGCAACAUAUGAAUCAUCUGUUGUAGCAGAUAGGUCGUCUGUUGGUACAAAUAAAAGUGGUACGAAAAGCUAUUUGAUUUGCUAAAAUAGAUGACAUAUGUUGCAACAGAUACUUUAUCUGGUGCAAUAAGUUAGUCAACUAUUGCAACAGAUGUAUAUAUCUGUUUGAUAAUUUUUAGCAGAUGUGUUAUCUGUUGAAAUAAAUAUGUAUCUAUUUUGGAAGACAUAUAUAUUCACCUUCUUCAGCUCAUGCUUCUCUCAUUUGAACAUUAUAAAUUGCUCAGUUCAACACAUAGACAGAGGAGUUGCAAUUUUGCUUUUCUGGAUGCUUGAUAAUGCCUUAAAAAAUACUUUUCUUCUCAUCUUAGCCCUAAUCUCUAAUGGAGCGGAUGAAAAUAAAAUCCUCUUUGAUGGAAUGAGACCCUAUUAGAUGUCAAUUCCUUUACAGAAGUAGUUAAUGCAUUAAUAGCAUUUAUCACUACAUCAUGUUUUGUCCUGCAGUCUUGAUAUUUGCAUGCAGAAUAUUUGCUAGGAGAGGCAAAAUCUGUAUAACCAGUAUGAUCAUACUCAUAAUGGUUUGCUUUAAAUACUGUAAGAGAAGCAUCAUUAGCACUAACAACAGCACCACUACCACUACCAACAACUCUAUCCCACGAAGACCAUCAACAACAACAAGCCCGUCCUCCAAAAUUAUUUUUCUUGUAAUGGAUAUUGCUCCAAACAAUUCUAUUUUUAUUCUGUCGAUGACCUUAGGGUUCGAUAAAGUUUGUACAGACUGUAAAGUAAGAAAAAAUGACAUCUUCAACUCUCGAUUGAUUGGAACUAGUAACGGAUGCACAAUAUAACAUAAAUCAUUACAUAUAUUAGAAUGAUGAUUAGACCAUUCAAAAAAAUCAUUAAUUAAAAGAAAAAAUUAAUUAUAAUUAUACUUACUACAUCUUUCGGGGGUUGAAGAGAUCAAGAAAUUUUGUAUUUUUAUUAGUUUUUGCCGAUAACCAUCUCAAGAUUCUUGGACAGGAAACUCCUGUUUGGUAGUUCACUUGUUGUCUCAAAUAAGGAAUGACUUCAAACGCCCAAUCCUAUAAAAUAACACCAAUAAAUCAAAAUCAUUAUUGAGUAAAAACAUGAAUGAUAUCAUAAUAAAAGAAAGAAACAUUUACCAUGAAAGCCCAUGGGAAGCCAUAUAAGUUGACAGUCUUUGGCGCUAACGGAGUCAACAAAUAUUUGACAGUCAUUUUGAAGCUUUCAUAACCCCAAGGAUAGCUGUUAAACACCUCAAGAUCCUCGAAGAGAUUUAUUAAACU